rnacentral:piRNA from 1 species
UAUGAACGUCCUCUGUGUUUUCGAAUUGUG